GAACCAAACCUUUGAUUUGGAGCUUGCUCCUUGAUUUGGACCUUGAUGAGUGGCGGACGGGUGAGUAACACGUGGGUAACCUGCCCAAAAGUGGGGGAUAACAUCUGGAAACAGGUGCUAAUACCGCAUAACAACUACUUUCACAUGAUCGUAGCUUGAAAGAUGGCUCUGCUAUCGCUUUUGGAUGGACCCGCGGCGUAUUAGCUAGUUGGUGAGGUAACGGCUCACCAAGGCAAUGAUACGUAGCCGACCUGAGAGGGUAAUCGGCCACAUUGGGACUGAGACACGGCCCAAACUCCUACGGGAGGCAGCAGUAGGGAAUCUUCCACAAUGGGCGAAAGCCUGAUGGAGCAAUGCCGCGUGAGUGAAGAAGGUUUUCGGAUCGUAAAACUCUGUUGUUGAAGAAGAACAUGCGUGAGAGUAACUGUUCACGUACUGACGGUAUUCAACCAGAAAGCCACGGCUAACUACGUGCCAGCAGCCGCGGUAAUACGUAGGUGGCAAGCGUUGUCCGGAUUUAUUGGGCGUAAAGAGAAUGUAGGCGGUUUAUUAAGUUUGAAGUGAAAGCCCUCGGCUCAACCGAGGAAGUGCUUCGAAAACUGGUAAACUUGAGUGCAGAAGAGGAAAGUGGAACUCCAUGUGUAGCGGUGGAAUGCGUAGAUAUAUGGAAGAACACCAGUGGCGAAGGCGGCUUUCUGGUCUGUAACUGACGCUGAGAUUCGAAAGCAUGGGUAGCAAACAGGAUUAGAUACCCUGGUAGUCCAUGCCGUAAACGAUGAGUGCUAAGUGUUGGAGGGUUUCCGCCCUUCAGUGCUGCAGCUAACGCAUUAAGCACUCCGCCUGGGGAGUACGAUCGCAAGAUUGAAACUCAAAGGAAUUGACGGGGGCCCGCACAAGCGGUGGAGCAUGUGGUUUAAUUC
rnacentral:rRNA from 2 species